GAUUUGUUGAAAAUUUUUAAACGGGAAACAGAUGCAUAUCUUCCUAUAAAGCUUUCAUUGCCGUUGCUAGUUAAUCAUGUACAAUAGCAAUGCCAAGUCAUGCACACUCUUUACAAGUUCCAAAUAACCUCAAUCUCUACCGAACACUUCACUGAUACAAAGACACACCAGCAGCUAAACUUGAUAAAAGGAUAGGCAGACCAUUUAAAAAUUUUCAACAAAUCCCUUUUCAGCCAAGAAAGGAGGAAAAAACAAUUUCCACGAAACCACCCAGGUAGGUGCAACUCCCUCACUAGCUCCACUGGUAGUUAAUACCAGUCAUUGACCUAGGAAGGACAGUAGCACAAAGGCUCAGACCAUCAGUGCAUUCAGAAACCUUACCGAUUUGACUCCCCAACUUAGUUAUUAAUGGUGCCGUGAUUGUAACACCAGACCAAGCAUUAGAAUUUCUAACAAAAUCAGAAAAACACUAUAAUUGUUUGCGCGCAUAUCCAAUUGCCAAUAAGCAUGUACGAACAUUCUGGGUUAGGCCCAUCUGUCAAGUAUGGAAUCACUUAGAAAAGAGACCACCAUCUCCGACUUCUGUUGCCCCUUUGGUUGGGUGAAGAAGAGCCAGGAACGUGAUGAAGCCCUCCCUCAGGGAAGUUGCAAUGAUGAUUUGGCACUCUUCCUCGAGAAUUUCCUAGCCACAAUACAAGGACAAUAC
rnacentral:misc_RNA from 1 species